CUUGAACAUCCUUGUCUUCCUCCUCUUCGAUCUCGCUUUGCUACUCUCUGCCCUCCACUCUCAGUCCCAUGCUUGGAGAUCUAAAGCUCUCCAUCAAUGGCCUCUCCCCGGAUCCUCCCUUCUUCUCUUAUUCAGAAGCUCGUCGCCUUCAAAGCCCCUGCCCCGAUUCUUCCGAUCUCAUCCUCCUCCCCUCUCGACUCAUUCACCUCCGAUCCCAUCUUCUCUGCCUUCCUCUCACCGGACUUGGACUACGCCCGAUUCUCCUCCAAGGCCCACAGCUCCAGAUCCACGACUGCUUGCGCCAAGUCCCUCCAUAAAGCCCAUCAUCGACUAUAUUAUCAACGUCCGCGCUGACGACGAUUUUGACUUUGGCGUCGAUGGUGAUGGUGCUUUUGAGGCUGUCGGUGACCUCCUUGUUGAUUCCGGCUGCGUUGAAGACUACGAAGAAGGCCGAUUGGGCCAAUAUCAAAUGCAUUUGAAGGAGAUGGAAGCUGUUAAAACAGGAAUGCCAGUUGUGUCUGAAAGAUGCUAUUUCAAAACGGCUUGAAGAGGUGUAUAAAAGGCUCGAAUUCAUUGAUGCAUAUUCAGCAGAGGCACGUCCUGCUUCAAUUCUUGUGCUUAGUUUCUCAAGCCCUUAAAAAUGUUAAAUUCACCAUGUUAAUUUAACUUUGAUUGUACUGUUGGCCAUUACAUGCUAUGUGUUUUAAAUUUUUAUUGGUGCUCCAAUUGAAAUAUUUUCUUGUUUUUUGGAAGGUGUAAAUCAAAUGUAUAGAAGGAAACAUGGUAUACUUCCUUUUUUAAAAUUUAAUAGGUUUGCUCCACAUCUCACAUCCACAAGAUUUGAAGAUUAACCAUUUUCGGAAGAGCACUACGUCUAGAUGUAACUAUAUAACCUUGUGUCUAUGAAUGGCGUUCAAGUGCUAUUAAAAUGAAGCAUAUAUGAUUUGCAGAACCUUUCUAGGCAUUGCACAACCUUUCUUGGCAUGUGCAAGACUACUAUAUUUCAAGCCCAUAAAUUUUUUUUUAUGAAAGAAGGUUUGGAGACGGAGAAUUAACUUCUAACUGUUGAUUUUAUGCUCUUACGCAUUCCCUUAGGCUGCAGCAAUACUUUCUAAGAUUCUUUGGAGAUAGAUACAAGGAUAACUGUUCAACACAGCCAGUUCUAGUGUUAUUAAAGUGUUAAUUGACUGACUCUUCAUUCACUUUACAAUCAUCCUUUGUGUUAAUCAGCUAAAGGAACUGAUGUGAUUGUUGAAAAACAACCAAUCGGCAGAACCUUGAUGGUUUGUUCUUGUUUCUUUGGCCUCACUUUGAUUUCAGCCAUCUGAUUUUUUAUCAUCUGUUUCAUGAUUCUGUUUUGUGAUUUUCUAGUUCUUUGAUUUCACUUUUAUUGAAUUCCUAGUCUCAUAAACCGCACCUUGUUUAGACCUUUGGUUUUUGGUGGAGUUGAAUUAUGUUUAAAUGGGUGUGGAAUUCAAUUCAGUAUAUAGGUGAGUUAGCAAGUUUCACUACUUCAAAAAUGAGUCAUUCUUGAAUUUGGUAGAUGUGAUUUAAUUUUCAUGACAAUGCGUUAUGUGGACUGUCAUCUGUAAGAGUUUCUAUGGUAUAUGUAAUCCCUUGGUCUCUCUCCUAUAUCAUUGUCUUUUGACCUUGGGUGAUUAAUUCUUGGUUUUCAUAUUCCAAUUGGGAUGGUUAUUUUCAUUUGUUAUGAAUUUAAAGUGAUUAUUGUAUCAAUAAAAGGAAAAUUUUAGAAACUACUAAAAAAGUUAUUGUUUAUUAAAGUAAUUAUUAUUAUUGUUAUUUUUAAGUUAUCCAAUGAGUGUUGUAGAUUCAACAUGUAGAAGGAUUAUCUGAGGACUCAUUGUAACACUAGAAUGCUCACAAAGUAGGAACCAUUGUAUCAUUGGAAACAUUAAAUUCAUCUCUAGCUUAAAAUUCUAGGAAGCUCUUAGUUUGUAUCUGAAUAUAAUAAUACCUUAAAAGUUAAAAUAUUUUUAGGAUAUCUAAUAUAGGAAUUAAGCAAACAAAGGAUCUAGAUUUGCACUUGGACUCUUGAAUGGUUAAUCUGAAGUUGUGUUUUAUUUGACAAUUUUUUUUUUUGAAAUCAUCAGCAUGGUUAAAAACUUCUGUUGAAAUGAUUAAGUGAUGAAGAAAUGUGCUAAUUCAUCUACUUUCUUUUGGCUUUUCUAUUUUUCUCUAUCAAUUUUGUUUUAUUGUUAAUACAAAGUUCAAAAAAUUAAACUUUGUUUAUGGUAUUUUGCUGAGGAUUAUGGGUUAAAACCUAAACUUCUGAAAUUAAUGGAAGUCUGAAUUUCACCAAUGUAUAUGUUACACGUAUUAUAAAAAUAUAGUUGUUAUGAUGUCAAUUCUUGUAUCUUACUAUCCCCAUGUUGGUUCUUUGAGGAAUAUAUUAUGAGUAGCUUAGAUGAUGAAAGCGUGUGUGGCUUUUCAUAUUCUAUGAUGUAAGAUGGUUUAGUUGUGUAUAUUUUACUUGUCAUAGAUAUUUAUGUAUGUUUUAGUUUGGUGCUUGUACAAGUAAACAGUGUCAGGCUGCCUCAUCAUGUUUAUGAAAAAAAGCAUUUCUGUGGCACUGUUUUGGUUGAAUUUUCUGUAGAAGAAGAUGCCAAGAUGGUUUUAGAGGGCAACCUAGUUUAUGCUGGAAUAGAGCUAGAGAUAAAACCCAAGAAUUUGAUACUGAAAGGGAAAAGCAGCAAGAGGAAUAUGAACAAUCAAGGUCUCUUAAGAAGGAUGGUUCAGAUGGAAGUUUGUGGACUUCAAAAUGGGGGAAGAAUCAGUAAUAGUUGAAAGCGGUUUGACUGUGAAGAAUCGCACCAUUACCUUAGAAGCACUUUCUAGUGAGGUUGAAAAGGAAUACUGGGACUUGCACCAAGGAAAUCAGGAAAGGUUUAGAGGAAACAAAGGCAACAGGGGAAGAGGUAGAGGCAAUAAGGGAGGUCGACCAUUCGAUGGCAAGCGCAAUAGGCAUACGGACUCACCUGCUUCAAGGCCAAGACUUGGAUGCAGUUGAGGCACUUAUCUGAGGCUUAUUCAUUUUUCAAGGAGGGGUUCUGAUGGUGAGCCAUGAUGAACACUUGAUAUCAGGCAGUGUUGGUGAGCUGUGGGUGGCAUCUGAAGGAAAGGUUAACCCAUAUUCAGGAACAUUUCAGGAUUAUAAGAAGAUGUUGAAGUCAUAUUCUUGAGCAAUCUCCAUCGUCUCCCCUUCACUCUUGAGCAAUCUCCCAUACAAAGACAUUCUGAAACUCAUUGCAAUCAUAUAUACUCGAGUUAUUACUAAAAUCUCUCUAUUCGCCAUGCUUAUGUUUCAAGAUGGACAACAAGAUUAUACAAACUUGUCAUUCUACUUCAAUGUAAAAUGAACUGGAUUUUGUUCUAUUAGAUGUUUUGACUAUUAUAUUUUGUAUUGGAUUGUUAUUUUGAAUAAUUAUA